AGGUAAGCUACUAAGAGCGAAUGGUGGAUGCCUUGACUGGUAAAGGCGAUGAAGGACGUACUAGACUGCGAUAAGCUACGGGGAGCUGUCAAGAAGCUUUGAUCCGUAGAUUUCCGAAUGGGGCAACCCAAUGUAUAGAGAUAUACAUUACCUAUAUAGGAGCGAACGAGGGGAAUUGAAACAUCUUAGUACCCUCAGGAAAAGAAAUCAAUAGAGAUUGCGUCAGUAGCGGCGAGCGAAAGCGCAAGAGGGCAAACCCAGUGCUUGCACUGGGGGUUGUAGGACUGCAAUGUGCAAGAGGUAAGUUUAGCAGAACAUUCUGGAAAGUAUAACCAUAGAGGGUGAUAGUCCCGUAUGCGAAAAACAAACCUUAGCUAGCAGUAUCCUGAGUAGGGCGGGACACGAGGAAUCCUGUCUGAAUCCGGGUCGACCACGAUCCAACCCUAAAUACUAAUACCAGAUCGAUAGUGCACAAGUACCGUGAGGGAAAGGUGAAAAGAACUGAGGUGAUCAGAGUGAAAUAGAACCUGAAACCAUUUGCUUACAAUCAUUCAGAGCCCUAUGUAGCAAUACAGGGUGAUGGACUGCCUUUUGCAUAAUGAGCCUGCGAGUUGUGGUGUCUGGCAAGGUUAAGCAAACGCGAAGCCGUAGCGAAAGCGAGUCUGAAUAGGGCGCUUAGUCAGAUGCUGCAGACCCGAAACGAAGUGAUCUAUCCAUGAGCAAGUUGAAGCUAGUGUAAGAACUAGUGGAGGACUGAACCCAUAGGCGUUGAAAAGCCCCGGGAUGACUUGUGGAUAGGGGUGAAAGGCCAAUCAAACUUCGUGAUAGCUGGUUCUCUCCGAAAUAUAUUUAGGUAUAGCGUUGUGUCGUAAUAUAAGGGGGUAGAGCACUGAAUGGGCUAGGGCAUACACCAAUGUACCAAACCCUAUCAAACUCCGAAUACCUUAUAUGUAAUCACAGCAGUCAGGCGGCGAGUGAUAAAAUCCGUCGUCAAGAGGGAAACAACCCAGACUACCAGCUAAGGUCCCUAAAUCUUACUUAAGUGGAAAACGAUGUGAAGUUACUUAAACAACCAGGAGGUUGGCUUAGAAGCAGCCAUCCUUUAAAGAAAGCGUAAUAGCUCACUGGUCUAGUGAUUUUGCGCGGAAAAUAUAACGGGGCUAAAGUAAGUACCGAAGCUGUAGACUUAGUUUACUAAGUGGUAGGAGAGCGUUCUAUUUGCGUCGAAGGUAUACCGGUAAGGAGUGCUGGAGCGAAUAGAAGUGAGCAUGCAGGCAUGAGUAGCGAUAAUUAAUGUGAGAAUCAUUAACGCCGUAAACCCAAGGUUUCCUACGCGAUGCUCGUCAUCGUAGGGUUAGUCGGGUCCUAAGUCGAGUCCGAAAGGGGUAGACGAUGGCAAAUUGGUUAAUAUUCCAAUACCAACAUUAGUGUGCGAUGGAAGGACGCUUAGGGCUAAGGGGGCUAGCGGAUGGAAGUGCUAGUCUAAGGUCGUAGGAGGUUGUACAGGCAAAUCCGUAUAACAAUACUCCGAGAACUGAAAGGCUUUUUGAAGUCUUCGGAUGGAUAGAAGAACCCCUGAUGCCGUCGAGCCAAGAAAAGUUUCUAAGUUUAGCUAAUGUUGCCCGUACCGUAAACCGACACAGGUGGGUGGGAUGAGUAUUCUAAGGCGCGUGGAAGAACUCUCUUUAAGGAACUCUGCAAAAUAGCACCGUAUCUUCGGUAUAAGGUGUGGUUAGCUUUGU
rnacentral:rRNA from 1 species